CAUUAUUGAAUGUUGGGUCUGCGUCUUGUGAAACACCGAGCGCGCCCACACUCUUUACCACACACACUUGUGAACCCUUUUCGAGCUGCCCUCUUCGUGAUGGGCGGCGAGAAGCACUUGUGAUUUUAAACCAGUCUAGGAUGUCAAUCCAAUUGAUAACUACAAACAACUAUAAACGGUGGAUCUCUUGGCUCUCGUAUCGAUGAAGAACGCAGCGAAACGCGAAAUGUAAUGUGAAUUGCAGAAUUCAGUGAAUCAUCGAAUCUUUGAACGCACCUUGCGCUCUCGGGUUAUUCCCGUGAGCAUGCUUGUUUGAGUGUCGCGAAACUCUCAACCCCGCCCUCUCUUCAUUGACUGGGUUGCCUGGGCUUGGAUCUUGGUCCUUGCUGGUGCUUUGCGCCCAGCUGGACUGAAAUGCAACAAGCUGAAUCGAUACACGUGCGGCUUGACCUGUUGUUGUAAGCAAUUUACAAUGGGGACGCACGAGGAUUGAACGAGCUUCUCAAAUGCUUUACCGCUUUGUGGACCCCUCUCGAGGGCGACCUUAGUGCAUGCUGACCUCAAAUCAAGUAGGACUACCC
rnacentral:rRNA from 1 species